AUGGCAGAGUGUGGGUGGAGAGGAAGGAGCAGGAAGAGAAGAGAUGUUAGCAGGAGAUGUGGUCAGAGAGAAGAUAAGGAGGGGGCAGAUCAUGCAGGGGCUUGUAGAACCAUGCAAGGCCUGGCUUUGACCCUGGAUGAAAUGAUGCUAUUGGAUUUACCUUCAAAAAAGCUCACUCAGAGAGCGGAGGCAAGGAGGCCAGUGAAGUGGCUGCAGCCAAAUUCAGAGAUGAGUCUCGCUAUGUUGGCCCCAGGCUGGUCUUGAACUCCUGGAUUCAAGUGAUCAUCUUGCCUCAUCGGCCUCCCAAACUGCUGGGACUACAGGUAUGAGCCACCACGCCUGCCCCCUCUUAUGUUAAUUUCUUAUUUACUUGUGGAUGCCCUGAUUCUGUUUCUGCUUUAUCAGAAGAAAUGCUCCCUUGGCUGAAGUUUUGAGUAAGAUGUUAGUUAUUGGAGACGUAAGUAUGUCUCCAUCCAUAGUUAUCUAUAGAUAGCUAACCAUCUGGGUAUUUAGUCAUCUAGAUAUUUAAUAACGUUAUAAAAUUAUUUUUAACUUUUUCAUUUUAAAUUGAUAUUUCAUUUUGCCAAAUAUCUUUUGGGGGGCAUGUAGGGAGAUGACCUUGUCAUUUUUCUAUUUUAACCCGUUGAUACGGUAAAUCAUAUAGAGUUCCUAACGUUGUACUAUCCUUCUAGUCUUGGUGCAAACCCUGGCUGGGACGUAUUAUGUAAGUGAUUCAUUAAUAUUUGAUUUAAUGUUUCGGAUCAAUUUACUUUUUUCUUGUUGUUUUUCAGCUUUUAGUGCUACUUUUAUGUCUGCUUUAUUUAAAAUUCAAAAAAGUCUUUUUUCUAAAUUCUCUGGAACACUCUUUUUAUUCCUUAAUUAUAUUUUUGAAAUUGUAUUUUAUCAUAUAGUAAAAUUGACUUUAUUUGGAGAGUGUGCAGUUCUAUGAGUUUUGACAGAUAUAUAUAUUCGUGUAAUCAGCACACAGUCAAGGCAUAGAACAAUUCCAUCAUUGCAUAAAGCUCUCUGGUGGUUGCUAACCACCGGCAGGGAAGGGGCGGGGGAAGAGGACUAAGAGGAAGGGGAGGGAAGAAAGAUGGAGGGAGGGAGAGAAAAGGAAAGAGAGAAAGAAAGAGAGAGAAAGGGAGGGAGGAAAGGAGGGAAGAAGAGAGGAUGGGAGGGAAGAGAAUAAGAAAAGGGAAAGAGAGGUGAAGGGAGGGAGAGAAGAAGUGUGAGAGAGGGAAGAGGGAGGAAGGGAAGGCAGAGGCAGGGAGGAAGGAGGGGAGAGGGAAACGGAGAAGGGGAGAGAGGAUGGUGAUGAUCAGAAGGAACUUAUGGAACAGAAUCAGACAUUCCUCGGGGAUUUGGAGAAUUGUUUUUAUGGGGAAACUUGCAAAAGGAUAGACUAUGUUGGGAUGGCUAAGUGGCAUAGUAAUUUACAUCUUUUUUUUUUUUUUUUUAAUCAGAGCCUUGCUCUGUCACCAGGCUGGAGUGCACUGGCGCAAUCUCAGCUCACUGCAACCUCUGCCUCCCAGGUUCAAGUGAUUCUCCUGCCUCAGCCUCCAGAGUAGCUGGGACUACAGGCAUGUAUCACCCACCACAUCCAGCUACUUUUUGUAUUUUUAGUAGAGAUGGGGUUUCACCACGUUGGCCAGGAUGGUCUCGAUCUCUUGACCUUGUGAUCCACCCACCUAGGCCUCCCAAAGUGCUGGGAUUACAGGCGUGAGCCACUGGCCUGGCAGUAAUUUGCAUCUUAAAAUUACUUUCUGGCCACAGACUGUUGAAACCUGAGCAAUAUCUGUGAGUGUUUGUAGGAAUGUAACUGUUUAAGUCUAUUAAUUUUCUUCCAAAUACAGCUUUAGCUGUUUACUUCUUCUUUCAGCCAGGAGUUGUUUGGGGAGAAAUGUCUGAUUUUUAAUUUUUUUGUUUGCCUUUACUAUUAAUUUAUGCUCCUAUUGCAUCAAGGUUAGAGCUUAGGAAUUGUAUUUUAUUUACCUUUAGAUUUUUUACAUUCCUUUGUAGCCUAGCACAUGUCAAAUAUUCCACUGGCAUGUGAAGAAAAGGAAUAUUCUCUGUUUUCUGUGGACAGAUUUUAUUAUAUUAUAUACAUACAUAUUUGAUCAUUGUCAUUAAUUAUAUUAUUUAAAGUAUUUAUGGCUUUAACUAUUUCUGAGAGAAGGGAGUUAGAGUUUUCUACCUUUGUGUUUCUCUUGAUUUCACAUUGUAACUAAGAGUUUUUGCUUCUUGUCUUUUGAUGUUAUAUUAUCCGGAAUGAUGUCAUGACAAUCAUUUUUUUAAAAUUUAUUUUUUCCUGGCCUGCUUUGCAUGUAAUGACAAUCAUUCUCAUUGUGUUUUCUAUCCUUUAUCAUCAUGGGUGAUGCUUUGUCUCAUCUAAUAAUUUUUGGUUUCAUUUCAACUUUGUUGCUAUUAAUGUCAUGAAUCAUAAUUAUUUUAGUUCCUAUUUGCCUGGCAGGUUCUCAGAAAUCUUUUUUUUCCAUCCCUUCCCAGUCCUUUCCUUUUCUCUCACUCCCUCCUGUCCCAUCUUAACCAAUCAUUUACUGAUAUAGUUCAUCACGUUUUUACUUUCUAAAACGAUAUAUUUAUCUGUCUUUUUUUGAUUUCUCAGCUCAAGAUAUAAAACAAUGUAUAACAGUGUAUAGUGACUCUCCACCAUAAAAGAUUACAAGAUCUGUGGAUUCAUGCUUCCUCCUUAUUUAAACUUUGUUAUGAUCUUAGAUUUUUAUUAUAGGCUAUUAUAAGUAUUCUAUUUUAAUUAACUAUUUUUACAUAAUAUAGAUUUUCUUUGAGGAGUUCUAGUUUUGACUUAAGUUUCACAGUUAUUGAGGGUUGAUUUUAUAUUUAAAAGGAUCCAAGAUUCACUUUUUUUUGUUUUUUUUCUGAGACAGGGUCUUACUCUGUCACCCGGACUGGAGUACGGUCUGCAGUCACAGCUCACUGCAGCCUCCACUUCUGUGGCUGACGUGAUUCUCCUACCUCAGCCUCCUGAGUAGCUGGUGCUACAGACAUGCACCAUCACACCCAGCUAAUUUUUAAAUUUUUGUGGAAACUGGGUUUCUCUAUGUUGUCUAGGCUGAUCUCGAACUCCUGGGCUCAAGUGAUCCUCCUGCUUCAGCCUCCCAAAAUACUGAGAUUACAGGUAUGAGCCGUUGUGCUGGGCCCAAGAUUCACGUCUUAACCUCUUCUUUCCCUUUCCUUCAAUAGCUUCCCUGUUCUUGACUUCUUUCAUUAUCUCUUUGUUGUCUGGGCUUUAUUAUUAAAAAGCAUUUUUUAAAGGAAAUGUUGCUGAAUCCUGCAGUCCCUGAAUUUAGGUACUUUACUGCACACACAGAAAAUUAUGUGAGAUGAUGAAUAGGUUAAUUUACUUGACCGUAAUAUUUAUUCCAUUGGGUAUAUCUACAUCAAAGCAUUAUAUUGUAUACCUUAUAUAGAUACAAUGAAUUUUGUAGAAGGGGAAAAAAUCUGAGAAACAAUGACAAAAACACAAAAGCCUCACAUCAGUUUAUUGGGCAUAAACUUCUUAAGUCGUAUUUUUAUUCCCUCAAACCUUUGCAGAUGUUAUGCUGGUCUUCUGAUAUGAAAUACUAAUAUGGAGAAAUCAGUGAGGGCAGCCUGAUAUCCUCCCUUUAAUCGAUAACUUGGUAAUACUGGCUAGGCACUUACAUAAUUAUCCUUUUUAAAUGCUUAAGUUGAAAGUCUUUAUCACAAUAUGUCUAGAUUUUCCUCUUUCUCUACUAAUGUUUUUUUUUGAAAGCCAUAUAAUUUUUCAGUCUUCACAUUCAGUAUUUUUUCUUUAGUAUCUGAUGGAUUCUUUCCAUGCCACACUUUUUUCUGUUCUCUCCUUUAAGGAUGCUACUUAUCGGUAUAUUUACCUCUGUUGUGUAUCAAACAUAACAGUCACCUUCUCUCAAUUGUUUCUAACUCUCCAACCUUUUCCUUAGCAUUUUGGGUGAUUUUUCUAUUAUCUUAUCUUGAAUUCUCCCUCUUUAUGUUCCUGCUGUUGUCGGAUCUGUCCUGGCCGUUUCUGAUCUACUUAAUAGGAGCAUAAUACAAUUAUUCUGGUUCACAACUUUUUACUUUGGCUCUGCAAUUCUCCCGAUCGCAUCCUGUUAAAUUAUCAUCUCAUCUUUUGCUUCUCUGAGACUAUGAUACAUCUGUGGUCUCAUUUUUUUUUAACGUUUCUAAAACGUCUUCUUCCAAC
ensembl:lncRNA